rnacentral:rRNA from 1 species
CCUACGGGUGGCUGCAGUGAGGAAUAUUGGUCAAUGGGCGGGAGCCUGAACCAGCCAAGUCGCGUGAGGGAAGACGGUCCUAUGGAUUGCAAACCUCUUUAGGCGGGGAGCAAUGCCGGGCACGCGUGCCCGGACUGAGAGUACCUGAAGAAAAAGCAUCGGCUAACUCCGUGCCAGCAGCCGCGGUAAUACGGAGGAUGCGAGCGUUAUCCGGAUUUAUUGGGUUUAAAGGGUGCGUAGGCGGAAUGCCAAGUCAGCGGUAAAAUCGCGGGGCUCAACCUCGCUCCGCCGUUGAAACUGGCGUUCUUGAGUGGGCGAGAAGUAUGCGGAAUGCGUGGUGUAGCGGUGAAAUGCAUAGAUAUCACGCAGAACUCCGAUUGCGAAGGCAGCAUACCGGCGCCCAACUGACGCUGAAGCACGAAAGCGUGGGUAUCGAACAGGAUUAGAUACCCUAGUAGUC